GUAGAGGAAAACCCAAAAGAGCUCUUCAAACAGUAAUCGGUUUUAAAAAAAAAAGAAUGAUUUUGACUAAAAAACCUUUUAAAUUGUUGCACUAUAAUGAACGCAAUAAAUUAAUAUUGUCAUGGUUUUGUUCUAUUGACGUUGUAAACAAGGCUUUAAGUUCAAAUUUUAAAAUAAAUGACACUGAUCUAAAUGAAUACAAUAGCAUACCAAAUAAUAUAAUUGAUGAGUUAGUUGAUUUAUUUCAAGUAAAACUAUUUUUUUCACCUUCUGCUUGGGCUAAAGUGCAAAAAAUUGUUGCUCAGAAAAAUGUUUGUCAUUCUUUAUGGCAGUGUCCACUUUGUCAAAAAAAAUGUGCCAACAAUUCUAUCAGUUGUGAUUAUUGUUUAACUUGGUAUCACCCCAACUGACUAUUACGGCGAGCACCGUCGACAGCCGAACACCACUGACCAAUCACAGACCACCUGUCUCCGACGUGGGGGGUCUGAACGUUCCGGCGGCUCAGUAUGCAUGCGCGCAAGUGGGUCAACUUACGGCGAAUAGAGUUUAGUGAACUGGCAGUGACCUCAGGUGCUGCUUGCACUGCACGCGUCACACAUAUAUAUUAUAUAUAUAUAUAAAUAUUUAACUGGAACGCUUGUCGGUCGUACGUAAGUAGAUGGAGUUCGGGAUAAGUAAUAAGUUGAACACAACAAUUUGAAUAAGUAAAAUAUAUCGUUUAUUAUGUUAGGAAAAUAUAAUUGUAAUUUAAUGUUUAACAAUACUUAAUAAAUU